UACGUAGGAGGCAAGCGUUAUCCGGAAUUAUUGGGCGUAAAGCGUCCGUAGGUGGCUCUUCAAGUCUGCUGUCAAAGAGUGGGGCUUAACCCUGCAAAGGCAGUGGAAACUGAAAGGCUAGAGAGCCGUAGGGGUAGAGGGAAUUCCCGGUGUAGCGGUGAAAUGCGCAGAUAUCAGGAGGAACACCAAUGGCGAAGGCAGCUCGCUGGAACGGUACUGACGCUGUGGCGCGAAAGCGUGGGGAGCGAACAGG
rnacentral:rRNA from 1 species